rnacentral:rRNA from 1 species
UGCACUGAAUGAGAUUUAACACGAAGUGAGUGCGGACGGGUGAGUAACACGUGGGUAACCUGCCCAGAAGCAGGGGAUAACACCUGGAAACAGAUGCUAAUACCGUAUAACAGAGAAAACCGCCUGGUUUUCUUUUAAAAGAUGGCUCUGCUAUCACUUCUGGAUGGACCCGCGGCGCAUUAGCUAGUUGGUGAGGUAACGGCUCACCAAGGCGAUGAUGCGUAGCCGACCUGAGAGGGUAAUCGGCCACAUUGGGACUGAGACACGGCCCAGACUCCUACGGGAGGCAGCAGUAGGGAAUCUUCCACAAUGGACGCAAGUCUGAUGGAGCAACGCCGCGUGAGUGAAGAAGGGUUUCGGCUCGUAAAGCUCUGUUGUUAAAGAAGAACGUGGGUGAGAGUAACUGUUCACCCAGUGACGGUAUUUAACCAGAAAGCCACGGCUAACUACGUGCCAGCAGCCGCGGUAAUACGUAGGUGGCAAGCGUUAUCCGGAUUUAUUGGGCGUAAAGCGAGCGCAGGCGGUCUUUUAAGUCUAAUGUGAAAGCCUUCGGCUCAACCGAAGAAGUGCAUUGGAAACUGGGAGACUUGAGUGCAGAAGAGGACAGUGGAACUCCAUGUGUAGCGGUGAAAUGCGUAGAUAUAUGGAAGAACACCAGUGGCGAAGGCGGCUGUCUGGUCUGUAACUGACGCUGAGGCUCGAAAGCAUGGGUAGCGAACAGGAUUAGAUACCCUGGUAGUCCAUGCCGUAAACGAUGAUUACUAAGUGUUGGAGGGUUUCCGCCCUUCAGUGCUGCAGCUAACGCAUUAAGUAAUCCGCCUGGGGAGUACGACCGCAAGGUUGAAACUCAAAAGAAUUGACGGGGGCCCGCACAAGCGGUGGAGCAUGUGGUUUAAUUCGAAGCUACGCGAAGAACCUUACCAGGUCUUGACAUCUUCUGCCAACCUAAGAGAUUAGGCGUUCCCUUCGGGGACAGAAUGACAGGUGGUGCAUGGUGUCGUC